UGGAUUUCUGUCGUGGUCAUCCGGUACCGCCCGUAUGGGUGUGCACCUGGUUUGCCCUCGGCUUUCUUCCGGUAGCCUUCCGCGCUUAACUGCGUGUGUUGGUGUUCCGGAACUUUUACUUUGAGAAAAAUAGAGUGUUUCAAGCAGGCUUGUCGCCCUGAAUACUUCAGCAUGGAAUAAUAAGAUAGGACCUCGGUUCUAUUUUGUUGGUUUCUAGGACCAAGGUAAUGAUUAAUAGGGACAGUUGGGGGCAUUCGUAUUUAACUGUCAGAGGUGAAAUUCUUAGAUUUGUUAAAGACGAACUACUGCGAAAGCAUUUGCCAAGGAUGUUUUCAUUAAUCAAGAACGACAGUAGGGGGUUUGAAGACGAUUAGAUACCGUCGUAAUCUCUACCAUAAACUAUGCCGACUA
rnacentral:rRNA from 1 species